GAAUCAUUGUAACAACUAGAGAUGUGCAAGUGCCAAGGAAAGUAGCUGGUGAAAUUUAUAAGGUUGAGAGGUUAAGUUCUAAUGAAGCUUAUAAUCUUUUCUGUCUGGAUGCUUUUAAGGAAAACUCUUUCACAUCAGAUGGUUGCCAUACACUGUCAGAAACGGUGAUAGGGCAUGCGCACGGUGCUCCAUUUUUAUAAACUUAAAACAGUUCCCAACAUGAACACUCAGGAUGUGCUGAGAAUAAGUUACGAUGGACUAGAUGAUACUGAUAAGGAUGUAUUUCUUAAUAUUGAAUGUUUCUUCAACGGAUAUGGUGUAGAAUCUAUAGAAAGAAUGCUUGAUGGUUGUGGUUUCUUCUCAAGAAUAGGAAUAUGCGUUCUAAUUGAUAAGUCUCUAAUAACCAUAGAGGCAGACAAUCUGUAGAUGCACGAUUUGUUACAAGAAAUGGGGAGGGAAAUUGUCCAGAAACAGUCUAUUAAAGAGCCUGGAGAUCAUAGGAGGUUGUGGAAUGCUGAGGACGUCUAUCACUUGCUGAAAAGAAAUACACAGGGAAAUGCAAACAGUAGAAGGAACAUUCUUACAUACAUUUCUAAUCAAAGAGGGAAGCUUGAGCCCCGAAGACUUCUCAAAGAUGCAUAAUUUAAGGUUGCUUAAAAUUUAUGCUUUUGAUGAGGGAAAAACUGCAAACUGAGGUUUCCUCAAGGCCUUGAAUGUCUUCCUGAUGCUACCCUUACAUAUCUUUAUUAGCAUGGAUACCCUUUGAUAUCUUUACCAUCAAGUUUUAUUCCAGAAAAUGUUGUUGAACUUAAAAUGCCUCACAGCCAGCUGGAGAAACUUUGGGAUGGUGUUCAGCAUCUUGGGAAGUUAAGAGAUGGGUCUUAGUUACUCUAAGCACUUGACUCAGACACCUGAUCUCUCUAACGCUUGAAACUUGGAGAAUAUAAAUCUUGAAUACUGUACAAGUUUGCUUGAACUUCCUUCAUCUUUUCAUUAUCUUGACAAGCUUAGUUCUGUAAAUUUGAGAUGCUGCUUAAAACUUGAAAACCUUCCAGAUCUAUGAAGGAAUAUCAAAGACUUCUUUUUGGAGGGGCCUGCAACAAAGAAAAUGCCUUCAUCAAUUAUGUCUCUGACCAAACUUGAGUCUUUGGAUUUUAAAACUGUGAAGACCUUGAGAAUCUUCCAAACAGCAUUUGUAAUCUGGAGACCCUGAAAGUUUUAAAACUGUGUGGCUUCACAUCCAUUGACAUGUUUCCAAGUCUUCCUAGAUUUAUAAGUUCAUUAGAUUUUGAGUGGGACAGCAAUAGAACCAGUGCCGUCAUCAAUUGAACUACUCUCUGGUCUUGCCAAAUGCUAUCUCAAAGAUUGCGAAAGGCUUGAGAGCCUCCCAAGUGGGAAUUUUAAUUUAAAAUCUCUAAAGUUUCUCUCUUUCUGGUUACUCAAAACUGGAAUACUUCCCAGUAAUCUUGAAGCCACUGGAAUGUUUGCUUUUUCUGCAUCUAGAUGGAGCAGGAAUUAGGGAGCUAUCCUCGUCAAUUGAAAAUCUAAGCGGGCUUAAUGAAUUAAGGCUGGACAUGUGCAAGAACCUUGAGGUUCUACCUGAAAGCAUCUCUAAGAUAUUAAAUACUAUUGAAUAUAAUUAUUCUUGCUGUGUCUGCUUGAAACAUAAAAUGUUUCGUAUUGAACUAGUAGGAAGUUUCAUACAAGGUCGUCUUUUUGGCUUAGCUAAUAUGAAAGAUCUCUGAUUUUUGAAUUGUCUAAAACUGGAUCAAGAAUCACGUGCGAGGAUAAUGGCUGAUGCACAGAUGAGAUUUUUGCGAAUGGCAACUCUAUCCGUAAAAAUAGUAUACCUCUCCUCACUUUCUUUCUGCAGUCUCCGUGUACUUAUGCACUCUAAUUAAACUUCCACCAUGCUACAGGAUUUUAAAUACAAAGGGUUGCCUUCCAUUAGAAUUUGCUGUCCAGGAAAUGAAAUUGCCAAGAGGUUAACCUACCAAACUAAUGGAUCUUCAAUUAGGAAUGUCCUGCUUCCUCCAAAUUGGUAUAAUGCCAACUUCUUAGGUCUUGCUUUAUGUGCUGUUGUUGAAAUCCAGAACUCUAGAAACGCAGAUGGAGAUUUGGAUCUCUCAUGCAUCUUCUUCGUUAAUGGAAACAAUGGUCAAAUGGGACAUGUUCUGUAGUGAUGUGAAAAGCUGAGAGAUUGAUAAUGACACGAGAAAUUGAGAAUUCAGAUCAUAUGUUCCUGUGGUAUGAUCGUGGAAUCUUAGAGAAGAUAAAUAAAAAACAAGUACAUUACUGGUCCUAUUGCCUCAUUACAGUUCCUAAAACAUAUUGAUUUUCCAGUCAUAAAAAAAGUGUGGAUUCUCCCUGCUAUUUUCUCAAGAUGCAGAGAGAUUUGGUAUCGUCAACGUGUAAAGGAAGCAAGGGUAGAAGUUACUAACAGCAAGAGAUGUCGAGAUGAGUUUGAACCCAGUGAAUGAGGCGAUGAGUUCAAGAGAAUUUGAAAACAGAAAACGGAUCAGUUUGCAUUCUCUGUCUCUGACAGAUUGCAGGUAAGUUAAAAAGGGAUCAUCUUUGAUAAUGACUAGUUCCAUGCAGGUUGCCUUGUUGUGGAAGUUAAAGCUGCUUUAAACAUGCAGUGAUUCCAAAUUUUGCGAAUGAAGGUUUAAGUUGUAUUUUAGUGUAUAUUACACAAACUCCCCAUCUAGUUUCAAGUUUUUUCAUAUAUGCCCUCCGUUUUUUUUAAUUUUCUUUCAUAUGGUCCUCUUCCUUUGGUCAAACCUUGAAAUUUGGUGGUCAGGAUUGUUUUAUUAUUUAUAAUGACAAAAAUACUU